AUACUCACCUGGCAGGGGGGAAUACCACGCUCGAGAAGGUUUCUCCAGGGUGAGGCACGUCCAUUGCACACUUCGGUUGGGUUGACCCCUGUGAUUUUCUCCAAAUGUGGGAAACUCAUUUGCAUAAUUUGUGACAAAAACAGUGGCAUCACCAGCUUUUUG